UUCGGGGGUUGAUGGGACAUUUCGCUCGCCUUUCGCCGGCGACCCCGGAGGACAUGGACCAGGGGACUCUCGGCCGAGAGGAAUGCUGUGGCUGACCGGGGGCGGCUUGCGACGCCAGUGGUCUCCUGGCCAAGGGGUCCCUCUCUGAUCGACCCAGUGCCCCCCCCCCCCCCGCCCACCGGCCUGACCUCAGCGACCCUCAGACGGUGCCAGGCGCAUCUCCCGAGCCCCACCCCGACCCCCCUCUCCCACCCGUACGCCACGCAGCCGGCCCACGCCGCGCGGCCCCCGGCCGGUGAGUUCACCGCACGAAUGGCGUGGACGUGAGAGAGCAGGGCCGGGGGGGGGGGACACGUGUCCUGCGGCCGGCGCAUCUGGCUGCGGCCCUGCGGGGGGAGGCUGCG
rnacentral:lncRNA from 1 species